GUGCUGGGCCCAUAACCCAGAGGUCGAUG
rnacentral:piRNA from 6 species